CUCCCGAGGAGACCGACGCCGCCACCCCGAUCUCUCCCGAGGAGACCAGCGCCGCCGCCCCGGUCUCUCCUCACCGCCGCCUGAGUUGUUCCCGCCACCGGCCGAUCUGACGCUUCCACCGCCUCCUCCAGUUAUCCCCUCCACGGGCAGAGCUCCUACCCCAACUCCAAGCAGAGCCCGCAGCUCCUAGGCUGAUCUCGACGGUGAAGUAUCGUCGCCGCCGUAGCUUGCCAAGUUCUUCCAGUGCUCGGACACGAGGUUGAGGACGCGAAGAAUUAGGUUAUGGAUCCAGCAGAUUGUAUUGCUGUCCGUUUUCAUUUCAAUGGGGAAUUUAUCAAUGACGGGAAGACAGUACAAUAUGUGGGGGGCAAAGAAGCAAUGUCCUUUUUAGAUCGAGCAAUCUUGAGCUUACAGAGAAUUCAACAAUGUUUGAGUGAGCAUUAUGUCACAGUGGACGGACAACAAUUGCACUGGCUCUUCCCUGGGAAGGAUUUAUUUGAUGGGUUGUUGAUGCUGUCUGAGGACAAGUCUGUUGAAACACUGUCAGCAUGUACAACAGAUGCAGGUGUGGCUGAUGUGUAUGUCGAGGAUCCAGCCAUGCAAGAUGAAGAAGUUAGUGAGGAAGAAGAUUGGGCUGAAGACGAGUAUGUAGCUACUGCUGAUGAGAAGAAGUCCGCAAAGGAAAAGCCAAUUGAUGUAGAAAGCAGCUCCGAUGAUAGUGACUUUGUGCCACCAGAUUGUUCAUCAGAUGACGAUGAGGCAGAUGCUAUUAGGCAAGAUUACAAGAAAUUCAAAAAGAGCAAGAAGAUGGCAGCUGAAAAACUUGCACUUGAGUAUGAGUUUGAAGCAUUGAAUGUAGUUAAACCUGAAGGCAAUUAUGAAGAUGACUCAAGUGCCGAAGAGGAUGAAUCUUAUGACGAGGAUAGUGAUGGUGAACUUAUCAAGCGUGAGUCUGAAUAUGCUAGGUUUAAUAGUAAAGCAGAAGUGAUCAAGUUCACCUUGGGUAUGACAUUUAGUGGGAAGAAGGAGUUCAAAGAUGCAAUCAUUCGUUAUGCACUGAAGGAAAGAAAAGAAAUCAAGUUCUUAAAAGAUGAGGGAGUCAGAGUAAGGGCAAAGUGCACAUGGCCUCAUUGUCCUUGGGUGUGUUUGUUGAGGAAAACAUCAAAGUUUGAAAGUUGGCAGAUUACUUCAUUUACUGAGGAACACACUUGUCCAAAAAGGAAAGAUAGUGCACUAGUUACAAGUAGACGGAUUGCAGAAAAGUUUGAGAGUUCGAUAAUGUCAAGUCCAGAAUGGUCAAUCCAGCAAUUAAAGUCAACCAUACAGGAAAAAAUGUUUGCAAAUGUGUCAAUAUCCAAAAUCAAGAGAGCAAAAGCACUUGUCAUUGGAAAAAUGCUUGCGGCUAAAGAGGGAGAGUACAACCAAGUGUUUGAUUACCAACUUGAGUUACUUAGAAGCAACCCUGGGACUACUUGUGUGGUCAAGCUUCACCCAGAUUUUGAAGAACCAACAUUCCACCACUUUUAUGUGUGCUUUGAUGCUUGUAAGAAGGGCUUCUUUGCAAAAAGGAAUAUUGAAUGUUGUUCACCACUGGGCUCCAAUGGCAGAGCAUAGGAAUUGUGCUAGGCACAUAUAUGCUAACUGGAGGAAAAAAUAUAGGGAAAAGGACUGGCAAAAGCUAUUCUGGGCUUGUGCAAAAGCACCUUGCACAAUGUUGUUCAAUCUUGCAAGGGCCAAGUUAGCACAAUGCACACCUGAUGGAGCAAGGGAUGUUAUGAACACAGACCCACAACACUGGAGCAGGGCUUGGUUCAGGUUAGGAAGCUGUUGUGAUUCUGUGGACAACAACAUUUCUGAAACUUUUAACAAAUGGAUAGUUGAGGCUAGAUUAUAUCCUGUGAUAACAAUGUUCGAAACAAUUAGGCAGCAAAUUAUGAUCAGGAUACAAGAAAUGAGAAGUGAGAUGGAAAGUUGGACUGGCAUCAUCUGUCCAAAAGUACUGAAGAAGCUACAGAAAAGCAUAGAUUAUUCUGCUUAUUGUCAUGCAAUUUUUAAUGGCAAUGAUGCUUAUGAAGUGAAGACAAGAGUACAUAGGUACACUGUCAGAUUGUAUGACAGGACAUGUAGUUGUAGGUAUUGGCAGUUGUCAGGCCUUCCUUGCUCUCAUGCCAUCAGCUGCAUACACUGCACUACAAACAAAUUGGAUGAUUACAUUGCUGAUUGCUACAGAGUGGAUAAUUUCAAAAAAACUUAUGCUUAUUGUCUGCAAGCUCUUGAGGGAAGAGCUGCAUGGCCUGUGUCUCAGAGACCAAAACCAAAAGCACCUAGGCACAUCAAUAUGCCUGGUAGGAAAAAGAAGUGUAGAACAAGAGAAGAGGAAGAAAAACCAAAGACUAGCAAAGUUAGCAAGGUUGGCACAGUGAUCAAGCGUAGCUUGUGCAAGCAUAGUGGACACAACAAAACAACUUGCAAACAAAGAAAUGGAGUGCCUAGUGCUAGUGCUCCAUCUGCUUCUGCUCCUAGUGGUACUGCUCCACUUUCUGCUACUCCUAGUGCUCCUAGGGGAAGUGCUCGUCCACCAAGUGAAGCACCUGUUCUGAGUUCACAACAAAGCACUUCACACAAAAGAAGGGCCACCGAGGAGAUGGCACCACCAAGACAAGCAAAGAGAAGGGCGCCAACUAAUAACAACAGUAGGUCAAAUAAUUUCUCUGGAAAUACCUUCAAUGUACAUGGAAGCUCGAAUGUCAAUGUCAAUGUUUGCACUGGUACUUCUCGCGCGACAACUAGCAGCAAAGUUACCAAAGAGAGGUGCAGUAGCAAUGGUAGUAACAAAGGCAAGGGGACUGGCAAGGCCAAAUAUGCUCGGUUUCGAAGCUUGCUGGGAUUUGAAAAUUGAGAGUUAUUUGUGUGCUUGUGAGAUUUGGGUGUCGAUCAGACCUAUCUAUGUGAGACCUAUGUGUCAGACCUAUUUGUGAGACCUUUGUGUGUAUCAGACCUAUCUAUAUGUAUGUGAGACCUAUGUAUGUGUGUUUCAGACCUAUAUAUAUGUAUGUGUGAC
rnacentral:rRNA from 1 species